UACGUAGGGGGCAAGCGUUGUCCGGAAUCAUUGGGCGUAAAGAGCGUGUAGGCGGUCCGGUAAGUCCGCUGUGAAAGUCGGGGGCUCAACCCUCGGAUGCCGGUGGAUAAUGUCGGGCUUGAGUACGGAAGAGGCGAGUGGAAUUCCUGGUGUAGCGGUGAAAUGCGCAGAUAUCAGGAGGAACACCAAUUGCGAAGGCAGCUCGCUGGGACGUUACUGACGCUGAGACGCGAAAGCGUGGGGAGCAAACAGG
rnacentral:rRNA from 1 species